rnacentral:lncRNA from 1 species
GAAUUCUUUUGUGUGCCAACCUUUAAUUGAGUACCUUUAUUUGUUUGCUUUACAUAAUUGACUCUCUUUCUAGUUGUCACAAUAUAAAUCCUUUUGGUGGUACUGUUUUUAUUCAAUUAAAUUUGUUUCUUGCUUUUGUUCUUUGACCUCUAAUUUGGGUGCUGGAAUUUAAUUCUUCUUUGGUGCUUAUGUGAAUGGGAA